GAUGAACGCUGGCGGCGUGCCUAAUACAUGCAAGUCGAGCGAACAGACGAGGAGCUUGCUCCUCUGACGUUAGCGGCGGACGGGUGAGUAACACGUGGAUAACCUACCUAUAAGACUGGGAUAACUUCGGGAAACCGGAGCUAAUACCGGAUAAUAUAUUGAACCGCAUGGUUCAAUAGUGAAAGACGGUUUUGCUGUCACUUAUAGAUGGAUCCGCGCCGCAUUAGCUAGUUGGUAAGGUAACGGCUUACCAAGGCAACGACGCGUAGCCGACCUGAGAGGGUGAUCGGCCCCACUGGAACUGAGACACGGUCCAGACUCCUACGGGAGGCAGCAGUAGGGAAUCUUCCGCAAUGGGCGAAAGCCUGACGGAGCAACGCCGCGUGAGUGAUGAAGGUCUUCGGAUCGUAAAACUCUGUUAUUAGGGAAGAACAAAUGUGUAAGUAACUAUGCACGUCUUGACGGUACCUAAUCAGAAAGCCACGGCUAACUACGUG
rnacentral:rRNA from 1 species